ACCCCAUAAUCCUAUCUCACGUAAAACAAAAGAAGCAGCCAAAAUCUCUCUCCUUCAUCCAUUCACGUGAACCAGCAACCCUAUUCCUCCUUCUCUUCACGUCACUGCCGUCCUUGCUGCUGCCCAGCCGCCGGACCACCACCGCGUUCUCGCCGCCGCAACCAGAAGCUCCGUGAGCUUCCCUCGCCGUCGGCGCAACCACCAGCGGAACCGCCGCACAAACCUCGACCACCGCCGUGCACGGUAGUCUCUUUCGUUUCUUUUCGUUUUUAAUUUUCUUGCUCGUUCGUUCUUGAUUUUCGACCCUUAUUGAACGAUGUUGCUUGCUCCACAACCGCCGAGCCGCGCAACCACCUCCGUCAUCGCCGAGCCUUUGCGCCGCCGUCCAGUCACCUUGUUCUCUUCCCUUCUUGGCGGAGAAUUCUCUUUAGGCGACUUUUGAAAGUGUUAAAGUGGCCUAUCAGUUUGUCUACACAAGGUUUGAAGAUGAUGCAUCAUUGGGAUCGGGAUUAGAGAGCUUGUAUUUAUUUUGAUUUGCUAAGUGACUUGGGUUUGUUAAAUUGGACUUUAAACUUGUCGUACUAUCUACAUUACUUUAUUUUCGUUGAUUGGUUUUGGGAAUUAACUUUGUAAUUGAUUAUUUAUAAACCUAAAGUUAGUUUUAUGUUUUCCGCUGCAAAA